CAUUCGUAUCACAUAUCCCCAGAUAGCCUGGAUCUGAGUGCAUAUUAUUGGCGAAUAGCGCUCAGAUCCCACACACAUAGUUCAAUCGCCAUGGAGUCAAAGUUCUUACAGUCUUUCGGUAUACGAAUGACUCCAUGGGAAGGCUAUCUGGGUUAAGUCUUUUCGUAUGCUCCAAAACUCCCGAACGGCCGGUGUUCGUAUGGUUUCUUGGAGGCAGCCAGGCGUUCCGUUGUUUCAGCGGUGUUCGGCAGAAAAAGUGUCCGUUUUUAGUUCCAUAGAAAUAGAGCCAAACACCGCUGGGCUUUCGCUUGGUUUAAAAUGGCCGCUGCCUCGUGGUCGACAUACGAACGACGACCACCCUGAAUUCGGUUUAAUUGAGAAGUGUCUGCGGUUAAC